UACGUAGGGUGCAAGCGUUGUCCGGAAUUAUUGGGCGUAAAGGGCUCGUAGGCGGUCCGUCACGUCGGGAGUGAAAACUUGGGGCUUAACCCCAAGCCUGCUUCCGAUACGGGCAGACUAGAGGUAUGCAGGGGAGAACGGAAUUCCUGGUGUAGCGGUGAAAUGACGCAGAUAUCAGGAAGAACACCAAUGGCGAAGGCAGCUCUCUGGGACGGUACUGACGCUGAGACGCGAAAGCGUGGGGAGCGAACAGG
rnacentral:rRNA from 1 species